CCCACCCCUGCUCCCACCAUGGGCCUUAGGUUUUCCCCAGGAAACCUGGAGCACCUUGAGACUGGGGAUUGUGUCUGCCCCAGCAGGCAGGAAACCAGGGCUCAAGCUUCCAAGCCCUGCCCUUUGUGAGCUUCUAGGAUACACACUUCAUUCUGACCCUGGGACAAGGAGCCAGUGAUCCAGACAUCUAUAACCACCUGAGCUACACAGGGACCCAGAGAGACCUGCCAGAUUCUCAUUUAUCAGCUAAAGAAACUGAGACACAAGCGUCCCUCCCCUCCAGAGGAUGCAGCAACAGGUGCCAUCCUGGACGCAGAGAGUCGCCCUCAACAGACAACUGAACCUGCCGGCAGCUUGAUUUUGGACUUCCCGGCCUGCAGAACUGUGAGAAAGAGAUUUCCAGUUACAAAUGACUUAGUCUCAGAAAAAGUCUGCUGGCUGCUGAUUUGAAACAUUCAAGGAAGUGUCCUGGAUGCAGCUCGGGCCUUUGACUGAAGUCCAAGACAGCGGCAAGGGGAGUCCCUUGCUGGCUCCUCUGAGCACUGGCCGCUUCGUAGGAAAAGCUGGAUUUUCAAAGGAGUCCUAGAGAAGCCUUCCUUCCGAGAGCUACCGAGAAAUGCUGGCUGAGUCAGCGGCCCUUGUCAAGCCGGGAGAGGAAGGUAUUG
rnacentral:lncRNA from 1 species